CUCAACAAUAGAUCAGUUGGUAGAGCAUGAGACUCCUAAUCUCAGGGUUGUGGGUUUGAGCCCCAUUUUUGGGC